GACCCAGUGGUGCAACGGCUAGCACACCUGUAUAUUAUAAGAAAUAAGAAAUGUUGAAUCUUUUGCAGGGGACCCCCGUUCGACUCGGGGUUGGGCCA